rnacentral:rRNA from 1 species
GAACGCUAGCGGCAGGCUUAAUACAUGCAAGUCGUGGGGCAGCAUGAGUAGCAAUACUUGAUGGCGACCGGCAAACGGGUGAGGAACACGUACACAACCUUCCUUCAAGCGGGGAAUAGCCCAGAGAAAUUUGGAUUAAUACCCCAUAAUAUAUUUGAUAAGGCAUCUUAUUAAUAUUAAAGCUUCGGCACUUGAUGAUGGGUGUGCGGCUGAUUAGAUAGUUGGCGGGGUAACGGCCACCAAGUCUACGAUCAGUAGCUGAUGUGAGAGCAUGAUCAGCCACACGGGCACUGAGACACGGGCCCGACUCCUACGGGAGGCAGCAGUAAGGAAUAUUGGACAAUGGACGAAAGUCUGAUCCAGCCAUGCCGCGUGAAGGAUUAAGGUCCUCUGGAUUGUAAACUUCUUUUAUAUGGGACGAAAAAAGGGCAUUCUUGCUCACUUGACGGUACCAUAUGAAUAAGCACCGGCUAACUCCGUG